GUUAUUUUUCAAAUACAACUUAGUUUUACAGCCAGCACACUAGAGGUGUUUGGAGUAAGUCUUUUGGCAAUUUUCUGAAGCCUUCUUUUUUUUGGUGGUUUGUUGUUUGAUUUUUUUAAGGAUGUGAUUAGAUCUAGACAUUUGUUGUGAAAGUGUCACUGUCAUGUAAAGAGUUUUCUGAUGACUCUUCAUUUCUUCAGUUUGAUUAAUGGAACAGCUGUGAAUUGCCUUGUCCAUUUUAGUACAAGUAAAUGGAAAAUAUCUUGAAAUAGUGCUAGACUUUUUAAAAUUGGUCUUCUUUAUUGUCAUUCUUCAUAUUCCAAACAAUUGUUUUUGGCUUAAGUGGAGGAGAAGAAUAGAGGAUAGGAAUAUUUUUGCAUGUUGAGUUAUAUUUACAUCUUUAUUAUGCGGGACGAGGAGUGUGUAUAAACUGCAGAGGCUCAGAGAGAAUUUUGAGUAUGUGAACAUGUAUUUUUGGAUUUAACUGAACAGUUGAACUUGUAUAUUUGAUCAGUGAGAAGGUAUUGAAAAUUUAAUUUGUCUGUGUGCAUUGGCCAUAGGAGUGGGCAAAUACUGGAACAGGUUGCCUGGAAAUGUUGAGUGUCCAUCCUUCAGAUGGAGUUUACCUGGGCAACCUGGUCUAAUCAGACCCGCUUUUAACAGCGAUUGAACUAACAAACUCCAGAGGUCCAUUCUAAUGUAGUUCUAUACUUUUGAUCGUUCAGAAGCCUGACCUGUAACAUGAAAUAUACGUCUGCUAGAUUCAGAGCUUAAUUGAAACAAAAAUGCUUAAUUGUGGGUGUGGUGUUAGUGGUUCGUAUGCUGCAACUUAAAUUCUUUGCAAACAAAAAGAAAAGCCUCUUUCCAUCCUGUUUCAAGUUUAAAUACAAAUUGGUUUCCAAAUCUUAAACAAGUGAAGAAUGAGCCCACCUUAUGCUGAUGAGUAGAGGGUAAAUGUUCUUUCUUUUGUGCUGUGAAAUCCCACUGUUAAGAAAAUUACCACGGCUAUUUCUCUCACACCUGGUACUUUUUCUUUGCAAGGGUCAAUACUAAAUCCUGGAUGUACUCUCGUUUUAGGGAAGGAUCCAUAGGAUGGGGGGUUUUAGCAAUUUUGCAUGAAUUCAGGGCUAGAGGAAUGAUAACGGCAUUUUCCUCACUGAUGGAAGCAGGAGCAAUUGUGGUGUUUUUCUUCUGUGAAAUACAGCAGGCCCUCUUGCUGAGAUAACAAGCCCAUCAGGCUAGAAUAUUGUUUGUUCUUCACUGUUGUAUUGAAAUAUCAUGUGGGUUUUUUUGUAUGUUGGAUAUUUUGUAAUCAUUUUAUGAAAAGGGGAUAUCUACUGUUAUGGGUGUGAAUUCUCAGCCAGUAGAGUAUGUGUUGUCCAUUCAAGUCAUCACAGAAGGUACAUGACAUUGGUACUAUGGGGAUCUGGUCAAGCUUGUAAUUUUAUAAAUGCUUUGAAGUGAUUUACAGUGUAUAAUAAUAACUGUUUAUUUCUUUAUGUAGUUAAUAGGAAGUGUCUCCAGGUAUUGUCAAGCUAUAGCUUACAGACAACUACCUCAACAACUAAAAUAGACAGCAAUGACGGCAAGACUGAACACCUAGAAUAUAUUGCCUUUGCAUUGGUUCCUGUUUUCUUCAUUAUGGGUCUCCUGGGGAUCCUCAUCUGUCAUGUCCUUAAGAGAAAAGGAUAUCGUUGUACAACGGAGGCUGAACAAGUAGAAGAAGAAAAACUUGAUGAAAAAAUAGAAAUGAAUGAAACCAUACAUGAGAAUAGCGACACCGUGGGACAAAUUGUUAACUACAUUAUGAAAAAUGAAGCAAAUGCUGAUGUGUUAAAGGCCAUGGUAGCAGAUAGCAGUGUCUUUGAACCUGAAAGCCCUUUAUCUCCUACAUCUCCUGGGAGUCCAACAAGUCCAGGGUCUCCUCUGUCACCUGGUGCAGUUCCGUUUAAACACAGCUGCAAAGGCCAUCACUUCCACACUGUUGGAGGAGUAGUAGAAAAGGAUGUUUGUACUCGUUGUAGCCACAAACGAUGGCACUUUAUAAAGCCAGCUCACAAAUCUAAAGAGCACAGAAGAAGUCGUCUUGGAGAGGUUACAGUCCUUUCUGUGGGAAGAUUUAGAGUCACAAAAGUGGAGCACAAAUCAAAUUCCAAAGAACGGAAAAGCCUGAUGUCUGUUACUGGUGUGGAGAGCGUCAAUGGUGAUAUGCCCGCCACGCCUGUGAAACAGGAAGGGAGCGAAACACCUGCCACGCCUGUGAAACAGGAGGUGCAAGAGAGGAGAAGAUCAGAGUAAACUGCAGAUGAGUGGAGCUUUGGCUAAUAAGAAUGGAGACACAUGAAAAUGCUCGUGUCGCAGGGAUCUAUGGUGGAACUUUUAGAAGCUUGUCUGCUAGCACUUUGGAGAAAACUGAAAAAUCCCAAGAGAUGCAUACUAUUUAAGAAAAUGUAUUUAUGGCACUGUAGUAUUUUACAAAUUCUGUGAUGGCAUCCGUGCAAGGUUAAGCACUUAAUGGUUGUUACCAGUAAGAUCAGUAAGAUUUAGACACUUAAACACUGUUGAUCUGUGUGGAACUCAUGCCAAAUGGCCUUCAUCUUGGAAAGAAAAAAGACAUGUAAGUUUGGGUUUUUUUGGACAGGAAAGGUAAAAGCCUUAUCAAUCUUAAUUUUUUUUUUUCUACUUAGACAAGCAUUUUUAGUGAACUCAAUAUUAUGAGUAAUACGAUUACCCUGUGGAUAAACUGUGUUCGCCUCUCUGGUCCAUCUGGAUUUUUCUCCUCUGUUCUUCCCCUCCAGAAUUGACAAGUGUUUGCUGAAGAAAAAAGCCAGCCUUUGGAAGAUGAAAAUAUUCUUUUAAUCUAACUGCUAGUAGCCAAGCAAAACAUACAAGGAAAUAAUUAUGUCAGUCAAAAUCUACAUGUAUGCCUUUAGUACAUAAACCCUCAGACUCUGUGAAGGGUACUUCACAGGACAGAGUGAUUUAGCUAUAUGCAAAUAUUAAAUUAAAUUGUCUUCCCCCUCUUACCUCCCCCUUGCUCUUUAGUUUAUGUUAAGCAGUAUCUUUUUGUAUGCAGUUGGGUGAGCUCUUGGGAAGGUUACUUUCCCUCAAGGCCACUUGUUCUCCCAUUUUCUUGUAACUACUCACUUGUGUUUGAAGAAUGCCUAAUAGUUUUGCCUUUUUUUGUUUUUAUCCACGGGUUCCUUAUUAAGCUAAGGCAACAUGUUUCAACCAUUAGAUAAGGAUAUGGAAUAUUUGGCAUAAAAAAUUUAUGGAGUAUAUACUAAAGUACUUCAGAGUGGCUUUGUUGGACUGAGGGUAGCUGUUUUCAUUGUCAACACAAUCUUAAGCCAGUGUCACUCCCUUCAUAUAUUAAGCGUGAUUUACUGCUAAAAAUACUAGUAAUGGUUUUGUGAUGUUAAUUCAUUGUGUCUACUUAUCAUAAUCUCUGUCACUUGUUUUGGGGAGGGAAAUCUUUGCAAUACUUCAGCAAAAUUUGCUGUGUAAUAGAAACUGAAAAAUAACAUUUGUUCUGAGUGCCUAAGAAUAUAAGCUCUAAUGUAAUGCAUUUUAGUAGAGAUUGCACUAUAUUCUGAGAACUAUAAAGUAACUUAAUCUGCUUUAUGAACUCAGUGAAAAUCAGUGUGUUUUGAAAUUGAUUUAUUUUCAAAUAAUACUUUAAAUCCUUUCAGUCCAAGUGCUCUAAACUGUGUUUCUCCUUCAGAUCUGAGAAUCAGGUUUCUUUAUGAGUUUAUGCGGCGUUAACAAUCAAUGUGUACAAAGAGAAAAGUUUAUGUUCUUGCUUAUGUAUUAGAUACUCCCACAUCUUGUCAGGAAAUACCAACUUUAUUUACUUUUGCUGAGAGUAUGUGCUGCUGAUGGUCUUCCUUUUACUUGUAUCUACAAGGUACUGAAUAGACCUGUGAGUAUAUAAUUUUCACUGAUGCUGUAUUUGUGGAAAAAAAAGCAAAAACCAAUCACACACCAAAGCUAUGAAAAGCAUAAAUGGUUUAGUGUUCCUUUUAAAAUGGAUAAUUUUAGAGGUAAUUGUCCAUCCUUGAGAACCUAAAAUAACUGUUUGGCCAGGAUUGGAACUUGAGUGUUUAGCAUCCCUGUUUCCAUACCCAUUAAUUUAAGCGUGGCUUAUGAAGUCUCUUCAAUAUUGAAGUAUAACGUAAACACAAAGCUUACCUUAUAGGCAUACAUUUAAUAUUCUUGAUUUUUUUUCUUCUUCAAGCCUCUCUUAUUUGGAU